rnacentral:siRNA from 1 species
UAUAUAUCCUCUUCACCAUGUUGC